AUCCAGCUGACGAGUCCCAAAUGGGCCGAAAAGCUCAUCCUGGAU
rnacentral:hammerhead_ribozyme from 1 species